rnacentral:rRNA from 1 species
CCCCUAAAUGAUCGUUCAGUGAUAAAGGAGGUAGGGGUGCAGAGAUAGCCAGGAGGUUUGCCUAAAAGCAGCCACCCUUGAAAGAGUGCGUAAUAUCUCUCCUCUUACUACAAAAUGCUUACCUAGCCAACGCUUAG